rnacentral:rRNA from 1 species
UUACGGUCAAAUCACGCUGAAACACCGGUUCUCGUUCGAUCACCGAAGUUAAGCAUCGUAGAGCCAGGUCAGUACUUAGAUGGGGGACCGCUUGGGAACACUUGGUACUGUAAG